rnacentral:rRNA from 1 species
GACGAACGCUGGCGGCGUGCUUAACACAUGCAAGUCGAGCGAUGAAGUUUCUUCGGAAAUGGAUUAGCGGCGAACGGGUGAGGAACACGCGAAGAAUCUGCCCUCCACUUUGGGAUAACACAGGGAAACCUGUGCUAAUACCGAAUAUUGAAACAUAAGUGGCAUCACUGAGUUUUGACAGAAUUUCGGUGGAGGAUGACUUCGCGGCCUAUCAGCUAGUUGGUGAGGUAAUGGCUCACCAAGGCAACGACGGGUAGCCGGCCUGAGAGGGCGACCGGCCACACUGGGACUGAGACACGGCCCAGACUCCUACGGGAGGCAGCAGUGGGGAAUAUUGGGCAAUGGAGGAAACUCUGACCCAGCGACGCCGCGUGCGGGAUGAAGGCCUUCGGGUUGUAAACCGCUUUCAGUAGGGAAGAAGCGAAAGUGACGGUACCUACAAAAGAAGCACCGGCUAACUAUGUGCCAGCCGCCGCGGUAA